UAAUACGGAGGGUGCAAGCGUUAUCCGGAUUUACUGGGUUUAAAGGGUGUGUAGGCGGGCUUUUAAGUCUGGGGUGAAAUCUCCGAGCUCAACUCGGAAACUGCCUUGGAUACUAUUAGUCUUGAAUUAUGUUGAGGUUGGCGGAAUAUAACAUGUAGCGGUGAAAUGCAUAGAUAUGUUAUAGAACACCGAUUGCGAAGGCAGCUAACUAAGCAUAUAUUGACGCUGAGGCACGAAAGCGUGGGGAUCAAACAGGAUUAGAUACCCUGGUAGUCCACGCCCUAAACGAUGAUUACUCGUCAUUGGCGAUACACAGCCAGUGACCAAGCGAAAGCGUUAAGUAAUCCACCUGGGAAGUACGUCCGCAAGGAUG
rnacentral:rRNA from 1 species